rnacentral:misc_RNA from 1 species
GAUGAAGAACGCAGCGAAAUGCGAUAAGUAAUGUGAAUUGCAGAAUUCAGUGAAUCAUCGAAUCUUUGAACGCACCUUGCGCCCUUUGGCCAUUCCGAAGGGCAUGCCUGUUUGAGUAUCAUGAACACCUCAACUCUUUAUGGUUUUCCAUGAUGAGCUUGGACUCUGGGGGUUUUGCUGGCUCACAGUCGGCUCCUCUGAAAUGAAUCAGCUUACCAGUGUUUGGUGGGUAUCAUAGGUGUGAUAACUAUCUACGCUUGAGGUUUUUCCACCAGGUAACCUUCAGCAGUGGAGGUUCGCUGGAGCUCAUAGAUGUCUCUCCUCAGUGAGGACAGCCCUUUGAAUGUUUGAUCUCAAAUCAGGUAGGACUACCCGCUGAACUUAAGCAUAUCAAUAAGCGGAGGA